AGCCAAACAAGGGAAUUAUUAUCAAGUUGAAGAAGAAUGUGUCCCUGCCAAGGGAGGAUGAAAAUCUCAAUUAAAAUAUCCCCCAGUAUGUUUUCUUUUUGCUUUUUUAAGCUGAGAGAGUAAAACAAAAGGGAACUGUUUAUUUAUUUUGAAACAGUAUCUAUUCUACCCCAAAGUAGUGGUUUUUGACCUCUUUCCCUUUCAAGGAUAGCUUUUUCCUUAAAACUGUGAUCAAGACAGAGUCUUAAAAGUCGUGUCUUUAUUAGGAUGGGAAAAGAAGAAAGUUCUAUGAUUUAUGCUCUUGCCUUUUGUAAUGAAAGGAGCUAAUGACUUUCAACAGAAGUAUAAUUCACAAAAAGUAAAAUCCAUUUCAUUUAUUACCACUUAACUAAGUGCUUUUUCUAAUUUGAAAGCAAUGCUACCUCCCAUGCCUGGUCUGCAUUUUGUAUUUAAUCUGAAUGGUUUAUUCAACAGUAGUUCUAAUUAGCAAAAAGAAUCUAACAUUCUCUAUCCAUCUAGCCAAAUGCCGAGAUUGGCCAGAGGAUAAGGCAAAGCUGAAGAGUGACCUCUUCUUAUUGACUAGCAAUUGUUAUUCUUAGUUUCUUUAUAUCAAGAGACAGGCUUAUCCUCAUCAUCAUCAAAUCCCACUGAAGGAUAUUAUUUGGAGUUAUAACUUAACACUCUUCAACACUGGCAAGCCUGUGAAAUAAAUAAAGGCAGAUUUUUGUGCCCUUUCUUGUCUCUUCACCUCCUCUAAUAACUCUUGUCCCCUUAGAGAUGUCCUGACACAUCUAUACCUCUGCCCUUCCCCUGGCCAUGAUGCACCAGGCUGAUUGCAGUGCACUGUGAAUGAUGGUCCACUUUCUCCAUUUCAACCCUGCAGCACCUUUGCUGAGAUCUUUUCUAAAUCUCAGCUGCUCUUUCAACCAACAUGCACCUGCAGAAACAAAAUUUUCAUUCUCUCAAGUUAGGUAAACUGAAAUAUAACUUAAGACUCUAAUGGCUAAUGUAGCUUACUAUAUUAGCUUACUAAGAAGACCCUAACAUUUUUUCAUGGACUGCUUAAUGCUUUUCUCUAAAUAAAUGAACAAUAUGGAAAUUUCAUGAA
rnacentral:antisense_RNA from 1 species